rnacentral:rRNA from 1 species
AUGUUGGCGUUCCGAGAUGCUCUGGAAAUAUGCGGCCUGGUGGAUUUGGGUUUCAAAGGUGUGCCUUUCACCUAUGAAAACAAAAGUAGUGGCGCCGGUAAUGUCAAAGUAAGGUUAGAUCGUGCGGUUGCAAACAAUGCCUGGAGAAAUCUGUUUGCAUUUGCCUCUGUAACGCACGUCCCAUCGCCGUGUUCAGAUCACGUCGCUCUACUGCUAAAGGGCGAGGCUGAUCCAGGACCUACUGUUGGGCGCUGCCGUCGCUACGAGGUCUUCUGGGAAAGAGAUUCGACCCUACCAGAAGUCAUAAAGGAGGCGUGGGAAGCUGUAGGUGUUGUCCAGUUGUCCCAGCUAAGGAACGCUUUGACAAAAACCAUGGCCUCCCUAGGCGUGUGGAGCAGAAAGUUUGGCAAUGUUACACGCGAACUUGCUAAGUCAUGA